rnacentral:rRNA from 1 species
ACGAAAAGGCAGGUGAGAUCCCUGCCCGCCGAAAGCCGAAGGUUUCCUGGGUAAAGUUUGUCUUCCCAGGGUUAGUCGGUCCCUAAGGCGAGGCCGAAAGGCGUAGUCGAUGGGAAACAGGUUAAUAUUCCUGUACAUCUAGUAAUUUCGAUGGAGUGACGCAUAGGGGGAAGUCCUGCCGGGUGUUGGUUAUCCCGGUUUAAGCAGUAAGGCGUUGAAGAGUGCAGGUAAAUCCGCACUUUGAGUUGAGCUGCCAAGAGUAGUGAUCCUACGGGUGAUCGAAGAGGGUGGACUCGUCGUGCCAAGAAAUAGCUUCUAAGGUUAGGUUACUAGGUACCGUACCGCAAACCGACACAGGUAGGCGAGCUGAGAAUGCUAAGGCGUACGGAAGAACUCACGUUAAGGAACUCGGCAAAUUACAUACGUAACUUAGGGAGAAGUAUGGCCUACUCAGGGAUGAGAGGUUGCAGAGACCAGGCCCGAGCGACUGUUUACCAAAAACACAGGUCACUGCGAACCAGCAAUGGGAAGUAUAGUGACUGACACCUGCCCGGUGCUGGAAGGUUAAGAGGAGCUGUUAUUCCUUGAGAAGAAGCAGUGAAUUGAAGCCCCAGUAAACGGCGGCCGUAACUAUAACGGUCCUAAGGUAGCGAAAUUCCUUGUCGGGUAAGUUCCGACCUGCACGAAUGGUGUAACGAUUUGGGCACUGUCUCAACGUGAGAUCCGGUGAAAUUAAAGUCUCGGUGAAGAUGCCGAGUACUCGUGGUUAGACGGAAAGACCCCGUGAACCUUUACUGCAUCCUGAUAUUGAUGCGUGGAUUAUGAUGUGUAGGAUAGGUGGGAGACUAUGACUCCUGGUCGUCAGGCUGGGAUGAGUCGUUGGUGAAAUACCACCCUUUAUGAUUCAUGUAUCUAACGCUGACCCUGAAGCGGGUUAGUGGACAUUGUCAGGUGGGCAGUUUGACUGGGGCGGUCGCCUCCUAAAGCGUAACGGAGGCGCGCGACGGUUCUCUUAUUACGGUUGGAAAUCGUGAUGUAAGUGUAAAGGCAUAAGAGAGCUUGACUGCAAGAGAGACAUUUCGAGCAGGUACGAAAGUAGGUCUUAGUGAUCUGGCGGUAAACCGAGUGGAAGGGCCGUCACUUAACGGACAAAAGGUACUCCGGGGAUAACAGGCUGAUUUUGCCCAAGAGUUCACAUCGACGGCAAAGUUUGGCACCUCGAUGUCGGCUCAUCGCAUCCUGGGGCUGGAGCAGGUCCCAAGGGUAUGGCUGUUCGCCAUUUAAAGCGGUACGUGAGCUGGGUUCAGAACGUCGCGAGACAGUUCGGUCCCUAUCUGCCACGAGCGUUGGAUGUUUGAGAGGGUCUGUUUUUAGUACGAGAGGACCGAAAUGGACGAACCUCUGGUGUACCAGUUAUCCUGCCAAGGGUAAGUGCUGGGUAGCUACGUUCGGACGGGAUAACCGCUGAAAGCAUCUAAGUGGGAAGCCCCCCUCAAGAUGAGACAUCCCUUUACCUUCGAGGUAACUGAAGGAACCUGGGAGAUUACCAGGUUGAUAGGCCGGCUGUGGAAGUGUGGAAACAUAUGCAGCAGACCGGUACUAAUUUUCCGUGAGGCUUGACC